UUAUAUUAAUUUUUAUCAUUAACAGUACUGUUAUUUACUUUAUAUUUUCACCGUCAGACCUUUGUUUUCACUUUUUAUGCCAGAAAUAAAAGAUGACGUACCAAGUAUUUAACAUAACGCAUUAUUUUAACGCUAUGAUUUCUUUAAUGUUUUACUUUAAUAUCAGCAAAAUUAUUUAUUACUUAUUGCGUUAAGAAGUACCAGCUAAGAUUUAUCUGAGAGCCAGAUGCAGCCACAGGUACCAUAGGACCCCCGGUGUACUGUAUAGUAUUUAAUGUAAUUAUUUUCUGGUGAUAUCUGAAGUAUUUUUAGCCAAACUUGAACGGAGAGCUGUUAAAAAAAGUUGAAUCUUUGAAGGUUUCUAUCUGGUUUCAUCUGAUUGUUUUCCCCCCCCAAAACUAGAAGAACAUUCGUGAUGAAAGUGAAGGUCCUGACCUGGUGCCAAAGACGUCCCUGGACUUUGUCUCUGCUGAUUUAUGAGUGUCGCUCCUUCCUCCUAAAGCUGUUACGCAAGCAACUCAGCAACAUAACAAACAAACAAACGCUGGCCUACUGGGAGUACCAUUUCCACCAGCUGGACAGUGAGGGGCGCUGUGCACAUUGGAAAUCUCAGCCAGUGGCUGCUGUUUGCUCCGGGCAGUGAAAACACAGGGUGGAAGCAUUGAAUCCCGAGCAACAACGACGGCAGCACGGAUCAGCGCACACAACCGAGGAGUAUUCCAUGAAUAAAUAAAGGAAAGCAGCGAUACGACAAGUUGCAGAGAGGCCACGCGGGAUCGUCCCUCUUCUCCAGCAGCAGGUCGACGACGAGGCUUGACUGAAGGAAGACUUGGAGUCUGUCUGUCACAGGUACUGUUUGACAAUACUGGAGGAAAAUACUAUUGUUUCUCACUAUGUUUACAUUUUUUAAAGAACUCUAUCCUCCAUUGUUGUCAGUCCAACAGCGUGGUUAUCAUCUGUGGUUAAUCCAGUGAAAUGAUUAGAUUUAGCACUGUGACCAUGACCAGCCUGUAAUUUUCCUCCUUUUCUCUCUCUCUUAUUUAACAUAAUUACUGGUUGGGCUCCCAGAUGACCAAAAUAAUCAAAGCAAGUGGAGCAGAAAAGACAAAUCAGUGCUUGGUUAGAAAUACACACAGAAUAGUGUAAACUUGUAGUGGACAAAUAACGAGAGGAAAAAAACGAUGGCCACAUCUGCAAGUUUUUGUUUUGUUUUGUUUUUUUCAACCACUGCUGCUGAAGAUUCAACCUCAGUGUGGUUAAAACGUUUACUCAUGCAGUUCAGUGUCUGUUUCUUUUCUGGUAUCACAUCCACACAAUUAAAUAGUAUUUAUCUUAUUGUUCUUUACAUUUCAAUUAGAGGACAAUUACAAACGAAUCAGUGAAAACGUUUAAACUCAUCUUCUUGGACAUGGAAUGUGGUUUACCUGAUUCAGGCCUCACUGUGACACACUUUUCAUUUCAGUAAAUUAAUUUAAUCUGCGCUCAAAUCUCUCUCACUGUUGCACGGCUAGUUUUGCCAGUGCUUUGAAUGUGCUUUUAAUUUUUAUAUAAACAUUUAAUUCUUUGUCGAGAUCGGUCCAGUUUUGCUUAUUGAAAACCCAAUUCAAAUCCCACAUAUGUGACAUCUAAGGAUUCUGAGGUUUGAAGAAACGAUGCGUUCACAUCCCUGCUCUGGAAUAUUGUUUAUUCAGCAGUCAGUAUAGAAUGUUAGAUAAAACAUUUUUGGCACAGUUGCUUGAUAAAGCAGUCCCUUUUUGUGUGCUACUCUAAAUAAAUAUGCAAAACCAUAAUUUACGUCCCAAAUAAAUACAAUAUAAACUACAUUUAAAAAAAAAGAUGCACUGCAUCCACGCACUGCAACUUUUCAAAAACCAAAAAAAAAAAGAAAACCCACAAAAUUCGUUGUACUUCAGGCGAACAUUUGCAAUGGGUUUAAACCAAAUACAGAAAGAAGGUUAACGAUGCUUCAUUAUAGGUUUUAACAGCUUAUUUUCCCUUAAAGAUCUACUAGGCAACACAACACAGAGGCAUGGAACGGGCCAGAAGAAGUAGUACUGAGGGAUACAUAUACUGGAUGGCUGCAAACACAUCUUCCAGCUCAUGUUUCUACUUCAUGAUGAUUACAGGUUAUUAGAAGAGAUCAGAUUACAUUUGAAAUAUUUGCCAAUCGAUCACUGCAGACAACGGUUUGUUGACGAGGGACAAACUGAUCUGAGAUACGACUGAGUGAAUGAAUCAUUCAGGUGGAAUCGACUCAUUAUGUUGGACAGCUGCAGACGCAGGUUAUUUGUAAAGACUUGUAACGAGUGUGAGACUGAGUUUGGAGGAGGAACACACUCUGGUUGUUAAUCUACACGACAUGGAUAAAUACGUCACAGAGUACGAGUGGGUUUUUACACCUGGAGCUACAGAAAGGGAUUUCCUUUGAUCAACAUAUCGGUACCAAGGACACAUCUUUUCACCUGUGUAAUAACACUGCAGUAAGUAACAGUACUGUACGCAAAACCGGUAAGAAGGUAACAGUCAAAGGGUUCAAUGUACGUUCUACAGACCGGGGGUGUCAAACAUAAGGACCGGGGCCCAGUACUGACUCUGCACAUUUUUCAAUCAGGCCCAUAAGUUAUUAAACAAAAAGUUUAAAAUAUAUGUUUAUAUUAUGUUACAAUGUUCAUGUGUACAUUUUUAUAUACUUACAAGAGAGAUAAUUUACUCCCACUUUAUUUUUAUACCACGUCAAAGGUCUGUUCAGGUGGUCGUACUUUUAAUGUACAUUUGGAAAUGUAUCUGCUACAUAUUCAUCUUCUAGUCCUUCAUACUUUUCAGGUGGGGGUUUGUGUGAGGGAGGAUGAAGGGGGGAGGAGGCAGGGUGCUGGAGCCAAUUACAGAAGUCAUAGGUGAGUUCCCGGGGGAGGAGAGGGGGUUACCACCUACACAGUCUAAGGGCAUCACAGCACAACGACACAAUCAACUCACAUUUAUACUAACAGUCUGUUUAGAAUUAAGACGUCAACUAAUCCAUGAUCGACAUGUUUUUCUUAUGAACCUGCAGAACCUGGAACACAAGGGGAGGAGAACAUGUAAGCUCCAGACAGACCAGGGAAUCGAACCAGCC